rnacentral:lncRNA from 1 species
GUGUGUGUGUGUGUGUGUGUGAUAACUGUCCCAGAAGUCUAACCAUUGCGGAUGCUGGCGAGGAGUCCGUUAGGAGUGUGUGUGUGUAGUGUGUGUGUGUGUGUGUAGUGUGUGUGUGUGUAGUGUAGUGUGUGUGUGAGUGUGUGUGGGGGGUAACUGUCCCAGAAGUCUAACCAUUGCGGAUGCUGGCGAGGAGUCCGUUAGGAGUGUGUGAGUGUGUGAUAACUGUCCCAGAAGUCUAACCAUUGCGGAUGCUGGCGAGGAGUCCGUUAGGAGUGUGUGUGUGUGUAGUGAGUGUGUGUGUGUGUGUGUGUGAUAACUGUCCCAGAAGUCUAACCAUUGCGGAUGCUGGCGAGGAGUCCGUUAGGAGUGUGUGUGUGUGUGAUAACUGUCCCAGAAGUCUAACCAUUGCGGAUGCUGGCGAGGAGUCCGUUAGGAGUGAGUGUGUGUGUGUGUGUGUGUGUGUGUGUGUGUGAUAACUGUCCCAGAAGUCUAACCAUUGCGGAUGCUGGCGAGGAGUCCGUUAGGAGUGUGUGUGUGUGUAGUGUGUGUGUGUGUGUGUAGUGUGUGUGUGUGUGUAGUGUAGUGUGUGUGUGAGUGUGUGUGGGGGGUAACUGUCCCAGAAGUCUAACCAUUGCGGAUGCUGGCGAGGAGUCCGUUAGGAGUGUGUGAGUGUGUGAUAACUGUCCCAGAAGUCUAACCAUUGCGGAUGCUGGCGAGGAGUCCGUUAGGGAUGUGUGUGUGUGUGUGUGAUAACUGUCCCAGAAGUCUAACCAUUGCGGAUGCUGGCGAGGAGUCCGUUAGGAGUGUGUGUGUGUGUGUGAUAACUGUCCCAGAAGUCUAACCAUUGCGGAUGCUGGCGAGGAGUCCGUUAGGAGUGUGUGUGUGUGUGGUAACUGUCCCAGAAGUCUAACCAUUGCGGAUGCUGGCGAGGAGUCCGUUAGGAGUGUGUGUGUGUGUGAUAACUGUCCCAGAAGUCUAACCAUUGCGGAUGCUGGCGAGGAGUCCGUUAGGAGUGAGUGUGUGUGUGUGUGAUAACUGUCCCAGAAGUCUAACCAUUGCGGAUGCUGGCGAGGAGUCCGUUAGGAGUGUGUGUGUGUGUGGUAACUGUCCCAGAAGUCUAACCAUUGCGGAUGCUGGCGAGGAGUCCGUUAGGAGUGUGUGUGUGUGUGAUAACUGUCCCAGAAGUCUAACCAUUGCGGAUGCUGGCGAGGAGUCCGUUAGGAGUGAGUGUGUGUGUGUGUGAUAACUGUCCCAGAAGUCUAACCAUUGCGGAUGCUGGCGAGGAGUCCGUUAGGAGUGUGUGUGUGUGUGUGAUAACUGUCCCAGAAGUCUAACCAUUGCGGAUGCUGGCGAGGAGUCCGUUAGGAGUGAGUGUGUGUGUGUGUGAUAACUGUCCCAGAAGUCUAACCAUUGCGGAUGCUGGCGAGGAGUCCGUUA